rnacentral:tRNA from 1 species
GGCAACAUGGCCGAGUGGUCUAAGGCGCCAGAUUCAAGCGAAAGCUUCUCUUGUUAGCAAGAAGUUCCUGGUCACGUAAUGUGGCGUGGGUUCGAGUCCCACUGUUGUCA